GCCCUAGUAGCUCAGCAGGUAGAGCACAUGACUGUUAAUCAUGGGGUCGCAAGUUCGAGUCUUGCCUAGGGCG
rnacentral:tRNA from 1 species